rnacentral:rRNA from 1 species
AGCGAACGCUGGCGGCAGGCCUAACACAUGCAAGUCGAACGAAGUCUUCGGACUUAGUGGCGGACGGGUGAGUAACACGUGGGAACGUGCCUUUAGGUUCGGAAUAACUCAGGGAAACUUGUGCUAAUACCGAAUGUGCCCUUCGGGGGAAAGAUUUAUCGCCUUUAGAGCGGCCCGCGUCUGAUUAGCUAGUUGGUGAGGUAAAGGCUCACCAAGGCUACGAUCAGUAGCUGGUCUGAGAGGAUGACCAGCCACAUUGGGACUGAGACACGGCCCAAACUCCUACGGGAGGCAGCAGUGGGGAAUCUUGCACAAUGGGCGAAAGCCUGACGCAGCCAUGCCGCGUGGAUGAUGAAGGUCUUAGGAUUGUAAAAUCCUUUCACCGGUGAAGAUAAUGACUGUAGCCGGAGAAGAAGCCCCGGCUAACUUCGUGCCAGCAGCAGCCGCCGUAA